CUCCGGAAUUAACAGUAACAGGACAUGUACAGAUUCUAUUCGAAAAUUGUGGAAACAGUACUGUUUGUCCUUCCGUUACUACGGCAACGACAACAAUGGCUCCAACGUGUGACUGCAGCAACAUCACGACGACGGAAGAUAAUCCGCCGUCCAGGUCAGCCAAUGACGUCAUUGAGACUUGGGUAAUGAGGGCAGUGGUCAUGAUGCUGACGGCAGCGUUGUUUGGGGUUCUCGCCAUGCAUUUCAGACCGAAGACACCCAGCGUCCCUCAAAAGAGUAGCGGUAAAG